UAUGUUUAUUCUUAUAAAAGUAUCUUGUUAGUGUUUUUCUAAUAUACAGUAAUAUAAUUUUAAAAUACAGUAAUAUAAUUUAUGUUUUUUAUUAUUUUUUUUAUUGCUUUUUUUUUAGUUACAUAGGUUGUUGUACGUAAAGCAGAACUGAUUUGAUAACUGUUAUUUUUAUUGACUGUUGACAAUUUCAAGAUGUUUUUUUUUUUUUUUUGAUUAUAUAACUUUUUUGUUAUCUUUAGGCCAAUUUGCACAGACUACAGCUGUAUCUACCUCUUGUACUACACCUGGUAAGUUACAUAACUCUUAAUUUUUAAUUUGCAAACUUUACAAUAUGUUUAACUUUAGUUCCUUAGUCAGCUGCUGCAACUAGUAAUUUAAAAAAAUAAUAAAUUUAACAUGUGUAUGCAUUUCUCGUUAUUUGCAAUAUUGAUUUUUUGUUACAACUUUGUAAUUUUAGUAUCUACCUCUUGUGCUACACCUGUAUCUACCUCUUGUGCUACACCUGGUUGGUUGGUUAAAUAUGAUCAUUUUAAUGAGAAAAUGUAUACUCGUGCAAUCUGGUAAAACAAUUCUGUAUUGUGCUUUCUUUUUUUAAUAAUUGCAUGCAAAAAUGCGCGACAUACGCCCUUCCCUAAAGUUAGUGUGCACAUCACUAAUGUAUGUUGUAUAGUAAAAAAAUAUAUUUUUACUUUUUAACAAAAUAUUUAAUUACUGUAAUAAAGAUUAAAUUAUUUAUUAGAAUGUAUGAUUAUUGUAUUAGGGUGUUAUAACAUCAUAACCACAUUUACGGCCAACUCUAAGAUCACCUUAUUUUGUUUGGCAGUGUUCUGGAAUCAAGUUAUGGCAAUAUUUUAUGUAUUAAAUCUAACAAUUACAUUAAAAAAGUGCUUAUUUUUG